rnacentral:rRNA from 1 species
CAGCAGCCGCGGGAAUACGAAGGGUGCAAGCGUUACUCGGAAUUACUGGGCGUAAAGCGUGCGUAGGUGGUGGUUUAAGUCCGUUGUGAAAGCCCUGGGCUCAACCUGGGAAUUGCAGUGGAUACUGGGUCACUAGAGUGUGGUAGGGGAUAGUGGAAUUUCCGGUGUAGCAGUGAAAUGCGUAGAGAUCGGAAGGAACAUCUGUGGCGAAGGCGACUAUCUGGGCCAACACUGACACUGAGGCACGAAAGCGUGGGGAGCAAACAGGAUUAGAGACCCGCGUAGUCCCUGUCUCUUAUAC